AUAGCGUGCCUUUUGUAGAAUGAACCGGCGAGUUACGAUUUGUUGCAAGGUUAAGCGGAAAAAGCGGAGCCGUAGCGAAAGCGAGUCUGAAUAGGGCGCAUAAGUAACAGGUCGUAGACCCGAAACCAGGUGAUCUACCCAUGUCCAGGAUGAAGGUAAGGUAAUACUUACUGGAGGUCCGAACCCACGCACGUUGAAAAGUGCGGGGAUGAGGUGUGGGUAGCGGAGAAAUUCCAAUCGAACUUGGAGAUAGCUGGUUCUCUCCGAAAUAGCUUUAGGGCUAGCCUCGAGGUAAAGAGUCAUGGAGGUAGAGCACUGUUUGGACUAGGGGCCCUUCUCGGGUUACCGAAUUCAGAUAAACUCCGAAUGCCAUGUACUUAUACUCGGGAGUCAGACUGCGAGUGAUAAGAUCCGUAGUCGAAAGGGAAACAGCCCAGACCACCAGUUAAGGUCCCCAAAUAUAUGUUAAGUGGAAAAGGAUGUGGGGUUGCUUAGACAACCAGGAUGUUGGCUUAGAAGCAGCCACCAUUGAAAGAGUGCGUAAUAGCUCACUGGUCGAGUGACCCCGCGCCGAAAAUGUACCGGGGCUAAACAUAUUACCGAAACUGUGGAUGAACCUCUUUAGAGGUUCGUGGUAGGAGAGCGUUCUAAGGGCGGUGAAGUCAGACCGGAAGGACUGGUGGAGCGCUUAGAAGUGAGAAUGCCGGUAUGAGUAGCGAAAGAAGGGUGAGAAUCCCUUCCACCGAAUAUCUAAGGUUUCCUGAGGAAGGCUCGUCCGCUCAGGGUUAGUCGGGACCUAAGCCGAGGCCGAUAGGCGUAGGCGAUGGACAACAGGUAGAGAUUCCUGUACCAGUGCUAAUUGUUUAACCGAUGGGGUGACACAGAAGGAUAGGGAAUCGCACGAAUGGAAAUGUGCGUCCAAGCAGUGAGUGUGAGAAGUAGGCAAAUCCGCUUCUCGCGAAGCAUGAGCUGUGAUGGGGAAGGAAAUUAAGUACGGAAGUUCCUGAUUUCACGCUGUCAAGAAAAGCCUCUAGGAAGAGUAGUACUGCCCGUACCGCAAACCGACACAGGUAGAUGAGGAGAGAAUCCUAAGGUGAGCGAGAGAACUCUCGUUAAGGAACUCGGCAAAAUGACCCCGUAACUUCGGGAGAAGGGGUGCUCUAUUAGGGUGCAAGCCCGAGAGAGCCGCAGUGAAUAGGCCCAGGCGACUGUUUAGCAAAAACACAGGUCUCUGCAAAACCGUAAGGUGACGUAUAGGGGCUGACGCCUGCCCGGUGCUGGAAGGUUAAGAGGAGUGCUUAGCUUCGGCGAAGGUACGAAUUGAAGCCCCAGUAAACGGCGGCCGUAACUAUAACGGUCCUAAGGUAGCGAAAUUCCUUGUCGGGUAAGUUCCGACCCGCACGAAAGGCGCAACGAUCUGGGCACUGUCUCAACGAGAGACUCGGUGAAAUUAUAGUACCUGUGAAGAUGCAGGUUACCCGCGACAGGACGGAAAGACCCCGUGGAGCUUUACUGCAACCUGAUAUGGAAUGUUUGUACCGCUUGUACAGGAUAGGUAGGAGCCGAAGAGACGUGUGCGCUAGCAUACGAGGAGGCAAUGGUGGGAUACUACCCUGGCUGUAUGACCAUUCUAACCCGCCACGCUUAGCGCGUGGGGAGACAGUGUCAGGUGGGCAGUUUGACUGGGGCGGUCGCCUCCUAAAGAGUAACGGAGGCGCCCAAAGGUUCCCUCAGAAUGGAUGGAAAUCAUUCGCAGAGUGUAAAGGCACAAGGGAGCUUGACUGCGAGACUGACAAGUCGAGCAGGGACGAAAGUCGGGCUUAGUGAUCCGGUGGUUCCGCAUGGAAGGGCCAUCGCUCAACGGAUAAAAGCUACCCCGGGGAUAACAGGCUUAUCUCCCCCAAGAGUCCACAUCGACGGGGAGGUUUGGCACCUCGAUGUCGGCUCGUCGCAUCCUGGGGCUGUAGUCGGUCCCAAGGGUUGGGCUGUUCGCCCAUUAAAGCGGCACGCGAGCUGGGUUCAGAACGUCGUGAGACAGUUCGGUCCCUAUCCGUCGCGGGCGCAGGAAAUUUGAGAGGAGCUGUCCUUAGUACGAGAGGACCGGGAUGGACACACCGCUGGUGUACCAGUUGUUCCGCCAGGAGCAUCGCUGGGUAGCUAUGUGUGGCAGGGAUAAACGCUGAAAGCAUCUAAGCGUGAAGCCCCCCUCAAGAUGAGAUUUCCCAUUUCUUCGGAAAGUAAGAUCCCUGAAAGAUGAUCAGGUAGAUAGGUUUGGAGUGGAAGUGUAGCGAUACA
rnacentral:rRNA from 1 species